UACGGGAGGCAGCAGUGGGGAAUAUUGCACAAUGGGCGCAAGCCUGAUGCAGCCAUGCCGCGUGUAUGAAAAAGGCCUUCGGGUUGUAAAGUACUUUCAGUCGUGAGGAAGGUGUUAAGGUUAAUAACCUUAGCAAUUGACGUUAGCGACAGAAGAAGCACCGGCUAACUCCGUGCCAGCAGCCGCGGUAAUACGGAGGGUGCGAGCGUUAAUCGGAAUUACUGGGCGUAAAGGGCACGCAGGCGGUUAAUUAAGUUGGAUGUGAAAUCCCCGGGCUUAACCUGGGAAUGGCAUUCAAGACUGGUUAGCUAGAGUCUUGUAGAGGGGGUAGAAUUCCAUGUGUAGCGGUGAAAUGCGUAGAGAUGUGGAGGAAUACCGGUGGCGAAGGCGGCCCCUGGCAAAGACUGACGCUCAUGUGCGAAAGCGUGGGGAGCAAAC
rnacentral:rRNA from 1 species